GCGGGAGUGGCGAAAUUGGUAGACGCACCAGAUUUAGGUUCUGGCGCCGUAAGGUGUGCGAGUUCAAGUCUCGCCUCCCGCACCA
rnacentral:tRNA from 13 species